rnacentral:tmRNA from 1 species
GGGGCUGAUUCUGGAUUCGACGGGAUUUGCGAAACCCAAGGUGCAUGCCGAGGGGCGGUUGGCCUCGUAAAAAGCCGCAAAAAAUAGUCGCAAACGACGAAAACUACGCUUUAGCAGCUUAAUAACCUGCUUAGAGCCCUCUCUCCCUAGCCUCCGCUCUUAGGACGGGGAUCAAGAGAGGUCAAACCCAAAAGAGAUCGCGUGGAAGCCCUGCCUGGGGUUGAAGCGUUAAAACUUAAUCAGGCUAGUUUGUUAGUGGCGUGUCCGUCCGCAGCUGGCAAGCGAAUGUAAAGACUGACUAAGCAUGUAGUACCGAAGACGUAGGAAUUUCGGACGCGGGUUCAACUCCCGCCAGCUCCACCA